rnacentral:rRNA from 1 species
UGCCAGACUCCUACGGGAGGCAGCAGUGGGGAAUAUUGGGCAAUGGGCGCAAGCCUGACCCAGCAACGCCGCGUGAUCGAAUGAAGGCCUUCGGGUUGUAAGGAUCUGUUGACAGGGACGAAUAAGCAAUGCGAAUAGUUUUGUGUAUGACGGUACCUGUUUAGAAAGCUCCGGCUAACUACGUGCCAGCAGCCGCGGUAAUACGUAGGGGGCAAGCGUUAUCCGGAUUUACUGGGUGUAAAGGGAGCGUAGACGGCAGUGCAAGUCUGAAGUGAAAGGCGGGGGCCCAACCCCCGAACUGCUUUGGAAACUGUGCUGCUGGAGUGCAGGAGAGGCAAGUGGAAUUCCUAGUGUAGCGGUGAAAUGCGUAGAUAUUAGGAGGAACACCAGUGGCGAAGGCGGCUUGCUGGACUGUAACUGACGUUGAGGCUCGAAAGCGUGGGGAGCAAACAGGAUUAGAUACCCCGGUA